GGGAGGGGUACCGGAGGGAUGUGCCUAUAUUGGUUACCAGUUCCUUCACGCUUGAUUGCGAGAUUGGACACGAUACUUCGUGCGUCAGUAGGAAACGGAACCUGUGACACAACCGAGCUGAUGAGAACAAUCUAUCAAAGUGCUGCUUGUGGACGUCAUUGAUUUGGUUGAAAACAGAUUAACUUGUUCUUGGUGUAGAGUUGAACCCCCAUCUUGAAGAUUACGACACGAAAAGGUUGCGAUUCGGCGCCGUGUCAAGAAGUGUUUCGCGACAACUGUAUGUACUUGUACAGAACAUAUUUCACGGUUAGUGAUCUUUGAAGUCUGUGUGGCUGUGAACGAUUUUCUCACGGAACAUUUUUCUCCUCUUUUCAUCUCUUGGUAGCUGCAGGAUCGUGCUUUUAUUUUUAAGAAUUACUGAAGCUUUGAGAAAAGAAGUAACUAAAAGUCUUUUUUUGGUCUGGUAUUUGUUCCUAUGGGUUGUGGCUCCUCAACGGCAACUAGAACAGCUGGACAGCCAGCUCCCAAAUUAAAGAGAAUUAACGAAGAGGAAGAAAAUGCUAGCCAGUCAUCUUCUAGACAAAAGUUAUCGUCACGUCCUGUUACAGAGAGCAAUGGACAUGCAGGGAGGAUUAGAGAGAACGAGGAAAGUGGUGAGUUUAUCUGCUGUCAAGUUGUAGCUGAUUAACUGAGAAGUGUAGCUUCCGGAAAACCUUAAGGAAGAGUCUUUAAUAUCGACUUAAUCACGACUUUAAUGUUCACAGUUCUCGAAUCUGAUUGGACACCAGUAGACCCUGGAUUAUUGAUUGACUGAUU